CACGUAGGGGGCAAGCGUUGUCCGGAUUUAUUGGGCGUAAAGAGCUCGUAGGUGGUUCGGUAAGUCAGGUGUGAAACCUCCAGGCUCAACCUGGAGACGCCACUUGAUACUGCUGUGACUGGAGUCCGGUAGGGGAGCGUGGAAUUCCUGGUGUAGCGGUGAAAUGCGCAGAUAUCAGGAGGAACACCAGCGGCGAAGGCGGCGCUCUGGGCCGGUACUGACACUGAGGAGCGAAAGCGUGGGUAGCAAACAGG
rnacentral:rRNA from 2 species